rnacentral:lncRNA from 1 species
GUCCAACUACAGCUAAAAAAUAAAUACUUUUUUUGAAGUUUUAAAUUUCAUUUUAUUUAUUUAUUUUUUAAUUAUUAAUUGUUCAAAACAUUACAUAGCUCUUGACAUAUUUCAUACAUUUGAUUCAAGUGGGUUAUGAACUCCCAUUUUUACCCCGUAUACAGAUGGCAGAAUCACAUCGGUUAUACAUCCACAUUUUUACAUACUGCCAUUCUGGUGUCUGUUGUAUACUUUUAAAAAAGAAUUAUGUAACCCUUUUGCCUUUAUAAAAUUAUAUUGCACAAGAUGUGAACUGUCUGGAAGGUUCUGGGUCAGGACAGACACGUUAUCAUCUCCUCACCCCAUGUCACAUUGCCCUGGCCCCAGUCACCGUUUACCACUGUUUAGUCACAGGGCACUCGAAGGGGUCCCAGAUGAAGGGAAACGUGUGCGCGUCACACCUUCCUGCCGCUUCAGUUCUAACUCCGGCCCUGACGUUUUCAUAGUUAAAAUCUAAACAUCACCUGCUGCCUUCAGAACCUGCCCCUUCAUUCUCUCCUUGACCCCAGGUUCCACCAGCUCCCCUGCACUGAAGUCACUAAAGUUUUCAGUGACCUUGUGGGAUUCCAGGGGGUGCUUCCUGGGGUCACUGCACUAGACCUCCCUGAUGCUCUAGUCUGCCCUGUCUUCUAGAAAGUCUCUCUUCCCUUGACGCCAGUGUCUCCUAAAUCCCCCACUGCCCUCUCCCUUCUCUGGCACAUUCUUUCUUGUUGGAAGACAUUCUACUGGGACCAUUGGUCCUCGACUGUCUUCUCAGGGGGUCAGCUCCACCAUCCUUAUCUCUGAAGGGGGUAGAACCAUCUCUCUCCAUUUCCCUGAUGGAAAAACUGAGGCCUCUUGUUCAUUCUUUCUUUCAUUUUCUAUACCCAGAGGCUCACAGAGUUCCUCUUUUUUCUUUGUAGUGGCUUUUAACCCUCUCUAACAACACCUCUAAGCAGGUCCCUAGCAUUAAAUGUGUCUUUAGUGGAGAUGCAACCCACUCUUCCAAUUUCAGUUGUUUGUGUACCAUACACACUGUCUAUUAAAUGAGUGUGACCUUUAAAUAUAUAAAAUGGACACUCAAAAAGAGGAGGCUUUUCGCUUGUUCAUUUCUUUGCACUACUGGGUAUUGAGCAUGGAGCCUGCCACAUGGGAAAGUGCUCUACCACUUAGCUACAGCCCCACCCCGUUUUAUUUCGAGACACAGUCUCCUGAUGUUGCCCAGGUUGUGAUCUUCUGCGUCAGCCUCCUUAGUAGCCGGGACCACAGGGGUGUGUCACCCACCUGGCCAAAAAGGUGAAAUUUUAAGAAGUAGAUGUAAAUUAAAAUACUGAUAUCUCUUCCUGUGUCCCUGCGGAUGAUCUGGAGAAGACCAGGGAGGACAUGCCACCCCCAAAACCAGGGUCAGGACUGUGACAGUGGCCCAACCAUGCUGUCCAUCACCAGGCAUCUGCCUCUCCUUCCCAUCGAGCACCUGCGUUCCUUUCCUUUCCUCACCUGAGGUGUCCUGGACUGCCCAGGAGGGACAAGCGCAGCUCCCAGGGACCCUCAGGGCCCUGUGAUCCUGUGGCCUCUUCCCCAAGCCUUUGCUCCUCUCCACAUCUGGAGCCUCACCUCAUCCUACCUUCCCUGUCCACUCCAACACCUGAGCCUCCUUCCUCACCUGAGCGUGUGGCCACCUGCCUCUCAGCAGUGCUCCUCGGCAUGCCCUCGGGUCAUUAUCUCCUCAGCUGGACUCUGAUCCCCCUAAGUCCAGGUCUCUUCAUCCCUUCACGUCCUUCUCCAAGGAAACCAGUGGAGACGGCGAACCUGACCACUCUCACUUUAGUGCUGCUUUGUCCUGUUUUCCGGAUGGCACCAUUGUCAGGGACACCCAGGGCUUCUCAGUGGUUGCGUUUGGGCAGAGACACCCACAGAGGCCCCAGAAUCUCUGACACAGCGCAACUUACUGAUCACAAGUGCGCCUGGGGACUUACCGUGUCUGUGGCUGGCAGUUUAAGUCCACUAAGUGCUGCUCAAGUUCACCUUCUUCCAGAAGCUGGUGGUUAAUUCUUUUAAAAAUUCAACAGAAGAAAAGUUGGCUGCUUAUUGGGAGUCUGCUUUGGACUGCCAACUUGGAUUGCUUUACAUGAAUGUUGAUGCACGGGCAAUUUAUUAGCAAAGUAUCCAUCUCUUUAGUGCCCAGCGGGGUGCAGGACAUGCGUGUAAACCAUCCAGAUGACAAUGUCCUGGAUUGGGCGCUUGGCACUCACCUACCACCAAUCAAUGCACCUAUUCACAGAUGGCAGAGUUGGGAUGCUGAGGCUGAGUCGAGAGGCUGCCACUCAGGAGCAGAGUGACGGACGUGCUGAAGAGGCCACGGGUCGGAGCUUCUUCCACACCUUCUCGAACUCACCUGGCAGACACUGACCUGGGAAUUGGGAAACAGAGGACUGGAAUAAAGAUAGCAACCGGCUUCCCUGAUCUCAAGCUUUACGGCUCUGGGGCUGAAGGAGCCAUUCAGUUCUCAAAGGUGCAUCCUCGGGGACUGGCCUCUGGGGGACUGGCUGUUACUGGAUGGAUAACCUUUGAGACCCCCUUAAUUGAAACACACUCUUCUUAUUAAAAUAAAUGCAUACAAACUGAAAAUUAGUUUCUUUGG